GGGGAUAACAGGCUUAUCUCCCCCAAGAGUUCACAUCGACGGGGAGGUUUGGCACCUCGAUGUCGGCUCAUCGCAUCCUGGGGCUGUAGUCGGUCCCAAGGGUUGGGCUGUUCGCCCAUUAAAGCGGUACGCGAGCUGGGUUCAGAACGUCGUGAGACAGUUCGGUCCCUAUCCGUCGUGGGCGUAGGAAAUUUGAGAGGAGCUGUCCUUAGUACGAGAGGACCGGGAUGGACAUACCUCUGGUGUACCAGUUGUCGUGCCAACGGCAUAGCUGGGUAGCUAUGUGUGGACGGGAUAAGUGCUGAAAGCAUCUAAGCAUGAAGCCCCCCUCAAGAUGAGAUUUCCCAACUUCGGUUAUAAGAUCCCUCAAAGAUGAUGAGGUUAAUAGGUUCGAGGUGGAAGCAUGGUGACAUGUGGAGCUGACGAAUACUAAUCGAUCGAAGACUUAAUCAA
rnacentral:rRNA from 1 species